rnacentral:misc_RNA from 1 species
UCCACCUGGCUUACCUCUUCAGUUGUUUGUUUAGGCUUGUAUCGCCUAGGCAGAUAGUCGGUUUCUUGUGUUGCCUACCGAAGUUGUUAUGGUAUUGUUCCCGUUGAUCAUAGUUGCUUUCGUCUUGUGUCAUUCUCAUGGCACCAGACGAACCAUGAAGCAGUCUUUUUGAUCCACAUCUUUGAUGCUUGCGUUGAUGUUGUGGCCCAUUGAGCAUUGCUUGGUAUCCUGGAUAUGGAAAACAAUGUGGGCAUGGGGUCCCUUGGGAUCCUUGUUUUGCCCUCAUCUAGCAUGCGUGCGUCUCUUAAUACGACCGCCCGGCCCGCAUUGGCUCGUACCAGCGGGCGGGUUAUGUCAAAGAGCCGUGCGUCCCUUCGAAUGACCACCCAGCCCGCAUUGGCUCGUACCAGCGGGUGGGUUAUGUCAAAGAGGAAUGCUACCUGGUUGAUCCUGCCAGUAGUCAUAUGCUUGUCUCAA